AAAAUUGUCGGUCGAAAUCACAUUCUUCCUCCGCUGGGAAUUGAAAAUACAUUAAUUACGCAAAGUUAAUCAAUCCAAAAGCAACGCGAGCCUGCUGCAAGGUAUUUGUUUCGUAAAACGUUUUGAUUACGAAUGUUCUCUGUUCAGUGGUUAAUUGGACCAUGUUUAAUUAAUGCAAUAAUGGACGUUCUUAUUGUCUCACUAAGACGAAGAUUGACGAGUUGAGCUCAUUUUAGAUAAUUUAACAUUCAACUUUAAUUCCCUCUUGGGAAAUGUCUA